rnacentral:rRNA from 1 species
GGGCCCGCACAAGCAGCGGAGCAUGUGGUUUAAUUCGACGCAACGCGAAGAACCUUACCAGGUCUUGACAUCGGCGGAAGGGAUAGAAAUAUUUUGUGCCCGCAAGGGAGCCGUCAGACAGGUGGUGCAUGGUUGUCGUCAGCUCGUGUCGUGAGAUGUUGGGUUAAGUCCCGCAACGAGCGCAACCCUUGUAGUCAGUUACUAACGGGUAAAGCCGAGGACUCUGACGAGACUGCCGGGGACAACUCGGAGGAAGGUGGGGACGACGUCAAAUCAUCAUGCCCCUUAUGACCUGGGCUACACACGUGCUACAAUGGCUGCAACAAAGAGAAGCAAGGGCGCGAGCCGGAGCGGAUCUCAAAAAGCGGUCUCAGUUCAGAUCGUGGGCUGCAACCCGCCCACGUGAAGUCGGAGUUGCUAGUAAUCGCGGAUCAGCAUGCCG